AUAAAAAUUACAAUAAAUAGACAAACAAGCGCUUAUGUCGCUUAAAUUUGAGAACUCCUGGGAAGGUCUGAGAAAAGGUACUACAUUGUGUAAAUCUCCUAGCAGGAGAGUGGCGUAAAGGUUCGUACUAGAAAAAAAGAUUCGGCACACUUCAUAUGUGAUUAAUGCAUGAGGGUUUCACUGGUAUCAGACGUGCAUAUAUGAAAUGUUGGAAGGAGAUCCUCGUACCGGCUUUGCUUAGUGCAAUAACCAUGCAAACACAAUUCAGACUACUCUCUCAC
rnacentral:RNase_P_RNA from 1 species